rnacentral:rRNA from 1 species
AGUUUGAUUCUUGCUUUUUAAUUUGGAUUUUAAAUUAUUUUUUAUGUAAGGUUUUCCUUAUUUUUCUAAAUGAUUUUUUUUUCAGUGUUUAAUUUUAGUUUUUAUUUAAUGAUAAAACUAGAUUUUUAAAUUAUAACUGACAAAUUUUGUGCCAGCCGUCGCGGUUAUACAGUUAGUUAAAUUAAAUUUUUUUGAUUUAAUAUUUUUAAUUUUUUUUGUAUUUAUAAAUGGAAUUUUUAGGUGGAAUUUUUAUUUUUUAUUUAUUUAUGGGUUUAUUAUUUAUAUGUGAAAAUUAUUAAAAAACUAGGAUUAGAUACCCUAUUAUUAUAAUUGUAAAUUUUUUUAAUAUUAAUAGUUAUGUUCUUUAAAUUAAAAGAAUUUGGCGGUAAUUUAAUCUUUCUAGAGGAACCUGUUCUGUAAUUGAUAAUCCACGAUUGAUUUUACUUUAAUUUUGUUUAUAUAUCGCUGUCAUUGAAUGUUUUCUAAGAAAAAUUUUCUUUAAUUUUUAUGAAUUUAAUGUUAGGUCAAGAUGUAGCUAUAUUAAAGGAGAGAUGGGUUACAAUAAAUUUAUUUUUGAAUUAAUAUUUUUUUUUUAUUAUGAAAUUGGAUUUAGGUGUAAUUUUUAUAAAAUUUUUAAAAAAUGGAAAACAGGAGGGUAAAAUAAGGCUUAUAAAGGAUAGAAGAACAAGAAUAAGUAUAUAAAUAUUUGGGGAAAGCUAAAGCUAUAAGAAAUACAACUAUUUAGUAGAUACGAGGGGCUACCUUAACGAAGAGAUAUCAAGACUAUUUAGGAUAUAAAGGGCUAGUGUUAUAGUUGGAAAGUACAUGUGUAAGAUAU